rnacentral:rRNA from 1 species
UAGGGAAUCUUCGGCAAUGGACGAAAGUCUGACCGAGCAACGCCGCGUGAGUGAAGAAGGUUUUCGGAUCGUAAAACUCUGUUGGUAGAGAAGAACGUUGGUGAGAGUGGAAAGCUCAUCAAGUGACGGUAACUACCCAGAAAGGGACGGCUAACUACGUGCCAGCAGCCGCGGUAAUACGUAGGUCCCCGAGCGUUGUCCGGAUUUAUUGGGCGUAAAGCGAGCGCAGGUGGUUUUAU